rnacentral:rRNA from 1 species
CGCUAUCACUCCUACGGGGAGGCAGCAGUAGGGAAUCUUCACAAUGGGCGCAAGCCUGAUGGAGCAACACCGCGUGAGUGAAGAAGGGUUUCGGCUCGUAAAGCUCUGUUGUUAAAGAAGAACACGUAUGAGAGUAACUGUUCAUACGUUGACGGUAUUUAACCAGAAAGUCACGGCUAACUACGUGCCAGCAGCCGCGGUAAUACGUAGGUGGCAAGCGUUAUCCGGAUUUAUUGGGCGUAAAGAGAGUGCAGGCGGUUUUCUAAGUCUGAUGUGAAAGCCUUCGGCUUAACCCGGAGAAGUGCAUCGGAAACUGGAUAACUUGAGUGCAGAAGAGGGUAGUGGAACUCCAUGUGUAGCGGUGGAAUGCGUAGAUAUAUGGAAGAACACCAGUGGCGAAGGCGGCUACCUGGUCUGCAACUGACGCUGAGACUCGAAAGCAUGGGUAGCGAACAGGAUUAGAUACCCUGGUAG